AUUGAACGCUGGCGGCAGGCUUAACACAUGCAAGUCGAGCGGAGAUGAGGUGCUUGCACCUUAUCUUAGCGGCGGACGGGUGAGUAAUGCUUAGGAAUCUGCCUAUUAGUGGGGGACAACAUUCCGAAAGGAAUGCUAAUACCGCAUACGUCCUACGGGAGAAAGCAGGGGAUCUUCGGACCUUUCGCUAAUAGAUGAGCCUAAGUCGGAUUAGCUAGUUGGUGGGGUAAAGGCCUACCAAGGCGACGAUCUGUAGCGGGUCUGAGAGGAUGAUCCGCCACACUGGGACUGAGACACGGCCCAGACUCCUACGGGAGGCAGCAGUGGGGAAUAUUGGACAAUGGGGGGAACCCUGAUCCAGCCAUGCCGCGUGUGUGAAGAAGGCCUUAUGGUUGUAAAGCACUUUAAGCGAGGAGGAGGCUACUGAGUCUAAUACUCUUGGAUAGUGGACGUUACUCGCAGAAUAAGCACCGGCUAACUCUGUGCCAGCCGCCGCGGUAAGAC
rnacentral:rRNA from 1 species